UGCACACGUGUGUUUGGCCAAAUCUGGAUACCAUCGCCUCUCCAGCUGACAUAUAAAGUGAACCAUCACACCAGCAAACCACUGGGAGACCGAAGUUUCCCAUACUGGUUUGUCCACUCUGAAAAACACCGAAGUGUUUACUUGAGGUGUCAUGCAGCCAAGAACAUAUUCUGGUUCAGAGAUACGCCAGCCUGAUAAGCUCCUGGUGAACCUGACUUCUUUUCCCAGCUGGGCUGAAACCAGAGUCAGGACACUUACAAUGAAGAAACUGCCUUGUGAAGUUCCCCCAGACCCACCACGUUGAGGCAUGAAGCGCAGAGAUUGGGCAGGUCCUGCGCACACCUGCUGGCUGCCUAAUGGACCCAGAGUGCAUUUCCUGAGCCACCAUUCAUCGCACUUUGCAGCUCAAAUGGCAGGACUCUUCCGGGAAUUAUUUCCCCUCCCCCCCGCCGGAGCUUCAAUGUUAACAACGGGGUCACCGACCACGAAGAGGGGUCUCCGAGGUGUCUGACCACGGGGCUCGGGUCUGACCACGGGGCUCGCUGCACUGCGCCGCCGCCGGGGCCGCCGCGGAGUCAGGGCCUGGGCAGGGCUGGGAUGAUCCGUGGAGAGCCCGCACCCUGAC